GAACGCGAAGAACCUUACCUGGUCUUGACAUGUACGGAAUCCUCCAGAGACGGAGGAGUGCCUUUGGGAGCCGUAACACAGGUGCUGCAUGGCUGUCGUCAGCUCGUGUCGUGAGAUGUUGGGUUAAGUCCCGCAACGAGCGCAACCCUUGUCAUUAGUUGCCAUCAUUCAGUUGGGCACUCUAAUGAGACUGCCGGUGACAAGCCGGAGGAAGGUGGGGAUGACGUCAAGUCCUCAUGGCCCUUAUGACCAGGGCUUCACACGUCAUACAAUGGUCGGUACAGAGGGUAGCCAAGCCGCGAGGUGGAGCCAAUCUCACAAAACCGAUCGUAGUCCGGAUUGCACUCUGCAACUCGAGUGCAUGAAGUCGGAACCGCUAGUAAUCGCAGGUCAGCAUACUGCGGUGAAUACGUUCCCGGGUCUUGUACACACC
rnacentral:rRNA from 1 species